AUUUAUUUAAUUAUUUUUUUUUAUUUUAUAUUUAAUUUUUUAUAAAAAUAAUUUAUUUAUUUUUUGUUUUAGUAUUAUUUAAAAUUAAUUAUUAUUAUUAUAGUUUAUUAGUAUUGUGAAAGAAAUUAAUUUAAAUUUUUAAAAGAAUAUUUUUAGUACCUUUUGUAUCAGGGUUAAUUAAAAUAAAUAAUUUAUUUAUUGUUUUCUCAAAAUUUUCAGAGUUAAAUUUAUUAUUAAUAGUUAUUGUUUUAUAAAUAUUUUAAAAAUAGAUUUAGUUUUAAUAUUUAAUUCGUUGAAAAAUAUUUAGUUAUUUAAGAUUUAAAUUUAAUUUAUAAUUAUAAUAGUUAAUAUUAAUUUAUAUUAUUUAUAUUUUAAAAUUAAAUUAUUUUAGGGAUAAGCUUAAAAUUUAAAUAAAAUUUUGUUUUAGUUUAAUAAUUUAUAGGAAUAGAAAUUUUUAUUUUAAGUUUGUAAAAAUUUAUUAUUAUUUAUUAUUAAAAUUUAUUAUAUAAAUUUAUUUUUUAUAUUAAAUUUUUUAAAUUAAUUAUUAAUUUAUAGUAAUAAUGAUUAAAUUAGUAUAAUUUUUAUUUAUAAAUUAUGAAUUCGGCAAAUUUUAUUUUCAUCUGUUUAACAAAAACAUUGUAUUAAGUUUUAUUUAAUAUAGGAUCUGCUCAAUGAUUUUAAUUAAAUAGCUGCAGUAUUUUGACUGUGCAAAGGUAGCAUAAUAAUUAGUCUUUUAAUUGGGGACUUGAAUGAAAGAUUUGAUGAGAAAUAAACUUUAUUAUUUAUAAAAUUAAAAUUUUAUUUUUAAGUAAAAAAGCUUAAAUUUUUUAAAGGGACGAUAAGACCCUAUAAAACUUUAUAAUUAUAUUUUUUUAUUUUAUUUGUAAAUUUAUUAAAUUUUAAAUUUAUAAUUAUUUUAUUGGGGUGAUAAAAAAAUAUUAAUAACUUUUUUUAAAAUUUUACAUUAAUUAAUGAUUUUUUGAAUUAAAAUUUUUAAUUGAAGGAAAAAGUUACUUUAGGGAUAACAGCGUAAUUAAUUUUUUAAGUUCAAAUUUAAAAAUUAGUUUGCGACCUCGAUGUUGAAUUAAGAAUAUUUUUAGGUGCAAAAUUUUAAAAUUUAGGUCUGUUCGACCUUUAAAUUCUUACAUGAUUUGAGUUCAAACCGGUGUAAGCCAGGUUGGUUCCUAUCUUUUAAUAGUUAAUUUAUUUUAGUACGAAAGGAUUAAAUAAUUAAAUUAAAUUUUUUUUUUUGAAUCAAAUUAAAAAUAAU
rnacentral:rRNA from 1 species